rnacentral:lncRNA from 1 species
CCAUUGAGUCCCCUCCACCCCCAGGAGGCCACACCGCUCUCGAUAUUCUGUCCUGCCUUCUCCCAUACAUCAAUGCGAACAUGUGCGACUGUGUGUCCCAGCUGUGGGCUCUGAAUCUGGUCUCAUGGCUUUAAAUAACCCCAGGCAACAAUGACCCCCAGAUUUCUAUCUCCAGCCCGGACAUUCCUGAUUCUAGACUUAUAUAGACCACUGCUCACUUGCAUCUCCAUCUAAGUGUCUAACAGACACAUCAGACUCAUCAAGUCCGAACAGAGUUCUUCACCUUCUCCACCCACCCAACAUGUCUUGCCCAUAGC